rnacentral:rRNA from 1 species
CAGUAGCCGCGGGAAUACGGAGGAUCCGAGCGUUAUCCGGAUUUAUUGGGUUUAAAGGGUGCGUAGGCGGCUUUUUAAGUCAGGGGUGAAAGACGGUAGCUUAACUAUCGCAGUGCCUUUGAUACUGAAGAGCUUGAAUGUGCUUGAGGUAGGCGGAAUGUGACAAGUAGCGGUGAAAUGCAUAGAUAUGUCACAGAACACCAAUUGCGAAGGCAGCUUACUAAAGUAUGAUUGACGCUGAGGCACGAAAGCGUGGGGAUCAAACAGGAUUAGAUACCCCCGUAGUCCCUGUCUCUUAUAC